UCCUACGGGGCGCAGCAGUGAGGAAUAUUGGUCAAUGGCCGAGAGGCUGAACCAGCCAAGUCGCGUGAGGGAUGACGGCCCUACGGGUUGUAAACCUCUUUUGUCGGGGAGCAAGACCCGCCACGAGUGGCGGAGCGAGAGUACCCGAAGAAAAAGCAUCGGCUAACUCCGUGCCAGCAGCCGCGGUAAUACGGAGGAUGCGAGCGUUAUCCGGAUUUAUUGGGUUUAAAGGGUGCGCAGGCGGACCAUCAAGUCAGCGGUAAAAUCGUGGGGCCCAACCCUAUCCCGCCGUUGAAACUGGCGGG
rnacentral:rRNA from 1 species